rnacentral:lncRNA from 1 species
ACAGCCAAAAAGAGCCCAAGGAGACAUGACCAUUAAAUAUAAUGUGGUGUCUUGAAUGAGAUACCGUGCCAGAAAAGGGACACUUGGUAAAAACUGGAGAAAUCUAAAUAAAGUGUGGACUUUAGUUAGUAGAAAUAAAUAGAAUGGUUGCAGUUGCUCCAGAGGGAUCUUAGAAUAACUUACCUUGCGUUGUUGAAAGAACACCGGUUUGGGUGUCGUAAACCUUGGUAUUCAGGCCUCUGCCCUUUGGUAGCAGUAUGACCAUUAAGCAAGUCAUACUGUGGACUUUAUUGUUCCCUUUCUGUAAUUGGGCUAAUAAAACUUGAUAUCCUACUUCCUUCAUGGUAUUGUUAGAUCCAAGUGAAUAUUGAACAUAAAAUGCUUUGGAAGCCCUGUAAAGUACUAUUGUCAUCCCAAUUUUAGAGCCAGAGAAACUAAGGCACAAAGAAAUUAAGUAACUGACUCCAGUCACACAGUUAGUACAGUGACUCCCUCUUGACAGUAGUGUUCAGUACACGUGAAGUAUCCGGGCGGGUCUGGCAAGGUUAGGAAGAGGUUGAGAAUCAGUGACAGCACUCUGGGGAAUCUAGGCAUGUCAGACCAAGAUUUAUUAUUCAGAAAAGUUAAGACAGCUGUUCCUUAGGGAUCAGUUGUUUAUUCCUGGAAAAUGUUUUCCACUUUCUGCAAAUCUAUAUCUGACCUGCUGAGGAAAUCGUUUGUGAAAUUCAUCCAGAAGGCAGAGAAAAUGUUUCAUUACUUUAAAUAGCAGCACUAAGCCUGUUAUAGUCUCUGAAUUGUCCCUUCUUGGAGUUUGCUAGUACUUCCAAUUUAGUCAUUUGGGAGCUCAAAAGUAUGAUUUUAUAUGCCCCUCCUGAUAUCCUCAUCUCUUGCAGAAUGUAUAGUUAUCUCUUUUGGACUAUGUAUUACAAACAUUUUAAACAUAAGAUCCUAUCCACAUAUUUCAUUAUUAUUAAACCAACAUUGUACUUACUAUGUUUUGCAAUACUUCCUUUAUCAUCUUCUAGAAUUCUUCAUGGACCUAAUAGAAUAAAGACUUCUUGAAUUCA